AUGAAGAGGCUGUUGGGCACUCUGCUGGGGCUUUUGUUCGCCCAGGUUUGCUGUAUGAGGGCGGCGCAGGUGGAGCAGAGUCCCCCAACCCUUAGUCACCAGGAGGGAGCCAGUUCCACGCUGUGGUGCAAUUUUUCUACCUCCAUGAGAAGCGUGCAGUGGUUUCGCCAAAAUCCUGGGGGCCGCCUCAUCAGCCUGUUUCACGUUCCUUCGGGGACACAGCAGAAUGGAAGAUUAAAGGCUAUGACAGUCGCUAAAGAACGCCACAGCUCAUUGUAUAUUUCCUCUUCCCAGACCACAGACUCAGCCAUUUAUUUCUGUGCUGUGGAGCCACAGUGCUCCCCAGGCACCUGCAACAUGUACACAAACCCUCAGCUGGGCUCAGCUCCACCUCCAACCACAAUCACAUCACAAGACCAACACACAGCGUUUCUGUAG